rnacentral:rRNA from 1 species
CAGUAGCCACGGGAAUACGGAGGGUGCAAGCGUUAUCCGGAUUUAUUGGGUUUAAAGGGUCCGUAGGCGGACUUAUAAGUCAGUGGUGAAAGCCUGUCGCUUAACGAUAGAACUGCCAUUGAUACUGUAAGUCUUGAGUAUAUUUGAGGUAGCUGGAAUAAGUAGUGUAGCGGUGAAAUGCAUAGAUAUUACUUAGAACACCAAUUGCGAAGGCAGGUUACCAAGAUAUAACUGACGCUGAGGGACGAAAGCGUGGGUAGCGAACAGGAUUAGAUACCCCAGUAGUCCCUGUCUCUUAUAC